UUAAGCGACUAAGCGUACACGGUGGAUGCCCUGGCAGUCAGAGGCGAUGAAGGACGUGCUAAUCUGCGAUAAGCGUCGGUAAGGUGAUAUGAACCGUUAUAACCGGCGAUUUCCGAAUGGGGAAACCCAGUGUGAUUCGUCACACUAUCAUUAACUGAAUCCAUAGGUUAAUGAGGCGAACCGGGGGAACUGAAACAUCUAAGUACCCCGAGGAAAAGAAAUCAACCGAGAUUCCCCCAGUAGCGGCGAGCGAACGGGGAGCAGCCCAGAGCCUGAAUCAGUGUGUGUGUUAGUGGAAGCGUCUGGAAAGGCGCGCGAUACAGGGUGACAGCCCCGUACACAAAAAUGCACAUGCUGUGAGCUCGAUGAGUAGGGCGGGACACGUGGUAUCCUGUCUGAAUAUGGGGGGACCAUCCUCCAAGGCUAAAUACUCCUGACUGACCGAUAGUGAACCAGUACCGUGAGGGAAAGGCGAAAAGAAACCCCGGCGAGGGGGAGUGAAAAAGAACCUGAAACCGUGUACGUACAAGCAGUGGGAGCACGCUUAGGCGUGUGACUGCGUACCUUUGUAUAAUGGGUCAGCGACUUAUAUUCUGUAGCAAGGUUAACCGAAUAGGGGAGCCGAAGGGAAACCGAGUCUUAACUGGGCGUUAAGUUGCAGGGUAUAGACCCGAAACCCGGUGAUUCAGCCAUGGGCAGGUUGAAGGUUGGGUAACACUAACUGGAGGACCGAACCGACUAAUGUUGAAAAAUUAGCGGAUGACUUGUGGCUGGGGGUGAAAGGCCAAUCAAACCGGGAGAUAGCUGGUUCUCCCCGAAAGCUAUUUAGGUAGCGCCUCGUGAAUUCAUCUCCGGGGGUAGAGCACUGUUUCGGCAAGGGGGUCAUCCCGACUUACCAACCCGAUGCAAACUGCGAAUACCGGAGAAUGUUAUCACGGGAGACACACGGCGGGUGCUAACGUCCGUCGUGAAGAGGGAAACAACCCAGACCGCCAGCUAAGGUCCCAAAGUCAUGGUUAAGUGGGAAACGAUGUGGGAAGGCCCAGACAGCCAGGAUGUUGGCUUAGAAGCAGCCAUCAUUUAAAGAAAGCGUAAUAGCUCACUGGUCGAGUCGGCCUGCGCGGAAGAUGUAACGGGGCUAAACCAUGCACCGAAGCUGCGGCAGCGACGCUUAUGCGUUGUUGGGUAGGGGAGCGUUCUGUAAGCCUGUGAAGGUGUGCUGUGAGGCAUGCUGGAGGUAUCAGAAGUGCGAAUGCUGACAUAAGUAACGAUAAAGCGGGUGAAAAGCCCGCUCGCCGGAAGACCAAGGGUUCCUGUCCAACGUUAAUCGGGGCAGGGUGAGUCGACCCCUAAGGCGAGGCCGAAAGGCGUAGUCGAUGGGAAACAGGUUAAUAUUCCUGUACUUGGUGUUACUGCGAAGGGGGGACGGAGAAGGCUAUGUUGGCCGGGCGACGGUUGUCCCGGUUUAAGCGUGUAGGCUGGUUUUCCAGGCAAAUCCGGAAAAUCAAGGCUGAGGCGUGAUGACGAGGCACUACGGUGCUGAAGCAACAAAUGCCCUGCUUCCAGGAAAAGCCUCUAAGCAUCAGGUAACAUCAAAUCGUACCCCAAACCGACACAGGUGGUCAGGUAGAGAAUACCAAGGCGCUUGAGAGAACUCGGGUGAAGGAACUAGGCAAAAUGGUGCCGUAACUUCGGGAGAAGGCACGCUGAUAUGUAGGUGAAGCGACUUGCUCGUGGAGCUGAAAUCAGUCGAAGAUACCAGCUGGCUGCAACUGUUUAUUAAAAACACAGCACUGUGCAAACACGAAAGUGGACGUAUACGGUGUGACGCCUGCCCGGUGCCGGAAGGUUAAUUGAUGGGGUUAGCGCAAGCGAAGCUCUUGAUCGAAGCCCCGGUAAACGGCGGCCGUAACUAUAACGGUCCUAAGGUAGCGAAAUUCCUUGUCGGGUAAGUUCCGACCUGCACGAAUGGCGUAAUGAUGGCCAGGCUGUCUCCACCCGAGACUCAGUGAAAUUGAACUCGCUGUGAAGAUGCAGUGUACCCGCGGCAAGACGGAAAGACCCCGUGAACCUUUACUAUAGCUUGACACUGAACAUUGAGCCUUGAUGUGUAGGAUAGGUGGGAGGCUUUGAAGUGUGGACGCCAGUCUGCAUGGAGCCGACCUUGAAAUACCACCCUUUAAUGUUUGAUGUUCUAACGUUGACCCGUGAUCCGGGUUGCGGACAGUGUCUGGUGGGUAGUUUGACUGGGGCGGUCUCCUCCUAAAGAGUAACGGAGGAGCACGAAGGUUGGCUAAUCCUGGUCGGACAUCAGGAGGUUAGUGCAAUGGCAUAAGCCAGCUUGACUGCGAGCGUGACGGCGCGAGCAGGUGCGAAAGCAGGUCAUAGUGAUCCGGUGGUUCUGAAUGGAAGGGCCAUCGCUCAACGGAUAAAAGGUACUCCGGGGAUAACAGGCUGAUACCGCCCAAGAGUUCAUAUCGACGGCGGUGUUUGGCACCUCGAUGUCGGCUCAUCACAUCCUGGGGCUGAAGUAGGUCCCAAGGGUAUGGCUGUUCGCCAUUUAAAGUGGUACGCGAGCUGGGUUUAGAACGUCGUGAGACAGUUCGGUCCCUAUCUGCCGUGGGCGCUGGAGAACUGAGGGGGGCUGCUCCUAGUACGAGAGGACCGGAGUGGACGCAUCACUGGUGUUCGGGUUGUCAUGCCAAUGGCACUGCCCGGUAGCUAAAUGCGGAAGAGAUAAGUGCUGAAAGCAUCUAAGCACGAAACUUGCCCCGAGAUGAGUUCUCCCUGACUCCUUGAGAGUCCUGAAGGAACGUUGAAGACGACGACGUUGAUAGGCCGGGUGUGUAAGCGCAGCGAUGCGUUGAGCUAACCGGUACUAAUGAACCGUGAGGCUUAACCU
rnacentral:rRNA from 1 species